CCUCCCCCCAGGACCUUCAUACAAGAAAUGGGACUCAGACCUCUCUAUUCUGAGAUUCCCGAACUCAUUUAGGAGUUCGAGUACCCCUGACUCCAGGAGAUGAAUUUGUUGAGAAACAGGUCAUGAGGCCGUUUUUAGAACCUCCACAUAAACAUGUCCUGUGAUUGUGCUUAGAAGAUCUUAGAUCUAGCUUUCUCCUCUUCCCUGCUGACCAGAGGAUUUUUAAUCAGUCAGGAUGGGAAAUGUGUGAGUGCAGAUAGAUUCUGCCUGCGGUUGGGUUCCUAGAGAUAGUUUUUAUUUAUAUCUGGACUGUGGUUUUUAAACUCAAAAGCCAAAAAUGUGAGGUCUGCAAGUCUCGUUGGUAGUGCAGUCAUGCUAUAAAGAGAAAUACGGGAGAGGGAAAGAAGGCAUGUAAAUUUAUUCCACGCUGUACAGUUAAAAAAAAAAAGAUAUAGAAGAAUUUAAAGUGAAAAGUAAUAGUCUUCUGUCCCCCUGCCCCUCCACUUCUCCAGUCCCUGGCAUUACUGCCAGGAGGCAACCCUUUAAAAUUUUUCUUUAUUUUACUUUAUUUUUAUUGAAGUGUAGUUGAUUCAAAAUAUUAUGCUAGUUUCAGAUGUACAGCAAAGUGAUUCCAUUAUAUAUAAUACAUAUAUAUGUAAAUUCUUCUUCAGAUUCUUUUCCAUUAUAGGUUAUUACAACAUAUUGGAUAUAGUUUCCUGUGCUAUGCAGUAGGACCUUGUUGUUUAUCUAAUUUAUAUCUGUUUUGUGUCUGUUAAUCCCAUACUCCUAAUUUAUCCCUCUCUCCCCUUCCCCCUUUGGUAACCAUAAAUCUGUUCUCCAUGUCAGUGAGCCUGUUUCUGUUUUGUAAAUAAGUUCACUUGUACUUCGGAUUCCACAUGUAAGUGAUAUCAUAUAAUAUUUGCCUUUUCUGACUUAGUUCACUUAGUAUGAUAAUCUCUAGGUCCAUCCAAGUUGCUGCAAAUGGCAUUAUUUCAUUCUUUUUUUUUUUUUUUUUUUUUUUUGCGGUAUGCGGGCCUCUCACUGUUGUGGCCUCUCCCGUUGCGGAGCACAGGCUCCGGAUGCGCAGGCUCAGCAGCCAUGGCUCACGGGCCCAGCCGCUCUGUGGCAUGUGGGAUCUUCCCGGUCCGGGGCAUGAACCCGUUUGCCCUGCAUCGGCAGGCGGACUCUCAACCACUGCGCCACCAGGGAAGCCCUAUUUCAUUCUUUUUUAAUGGUUGAGUAAUAUUCUAUUCUACAUGUAUAUAUCACAUUUUCAUUAUCCAUUGCUCUGUUGAUGGACAUUUAGGUUGCUUCCAUGUCUUGGCUAUUGUAAACAGUGCUGCAGUGAACACUGGGGGUAUGUGUGUAUCCUUUCGGACCAUGUUUUUCUCUGGGUGUAUGCCCAGGAGUGGGAUUGCAGAAUCAUACAAUAGGUAACUCUAUUUUUAGUUUUCUAAGGCACCUCCAUACUGUUCUCCACAGUGGCUAUACCAAUUUACAUUCCCACCAACAGUGUAGGAGGCUUCCCUUUUCUCCACACUCUCUCCAGCAUUUAUUGUUUGUAGAUUUUUUGAUGAUGGCCAUUCUGACUGGUGUGAGGUGAUAUCGUAUUACAGUUUUGAUUUACAUUUCUCUAAUAAUUAACGAUGUUGAACAUCUUUUCAUGUGCCCCUUGCCAUCUGUAUGUCUUUGGAGAAAUGUCUACUUAGGUCUUCUGCCCAUUUUUGGAUUGGGUUGUUUGUUUCUAUGAUAUUAAGCUGCAUGAGCUGUUUGUAAAUUUUGGAGAUUAAUCCCUUGUCAGUCUCAUCGUUUGCAAAUAUUUUCUCCCAUUCUGUGGGUUCUGCUUAUAACCCACUCUUCGCCUGCCUGUAGGAGAGAGGUUGUCCCCUUCUCACAAGGAGAACUGGCUGUGAAACUGGGCAAUGGAUUAUGGGGCAGUGUUCCAGAGGUUUCCCUUACCAUGCAGAAGACACUUGAAUGUCAAGGACUCUCCCUCCAUCUGAAGUCCUUUUCUGCAGGAGUCAAGACUGCCAGACCAAGGUAAAACUCUCCUGCUGAUAGAAACUUACAGAUUGGGUCGGAAACACAACAUUCAAUUAGAAGUUGGUAAUAGGAGACCCACAAGAAACAAAUAACACCAAAAGGUUUACGACAAAGGAGACGCAAUAUUUGCUUUAGUCUAAGACACGUGUUAGAAGUACAGCUAGAACGAUGCAUUUCUGCCUGGACAGAUGUUACUAUCCUGUCUCCAGCUCCAGGUAAUAAGAGUCCUACAGAGUGUACUUAGAAGGAAAACUACCAGCAAUAUUUCCAUGAGGUCUUUUUCUCCAUCCUCAUUUCGCCAUAAACUUCUAACACGACACUAAGGAUUCUCGCCUCCUCCCUGGUCUGUGAUUCCUGUUUCUUUCCACCGGAGUUUGUUACCAGUGCAUUUUCCGCAGGGCAUGUAGCCCUCACGUACCUACCGUCUGUUCUCCAUUCCCUAUCCCCUGAAUGCUGAAGCUACUUAUUAGGUAAUGAGGAGCCCAGGUUGAAGCCUUUUCCGCUCCACAGAGCGACAGCCCAGUGCUGGAGAAAGACACCUAAAAUAAAUACAUUGGUUUGAUUCCACGAUGGUCAGAGAACAUACUUUGUACGAUUGCACUUAUUUUGCCAUUGUCAAGGUUAGUCGAAUGACGUGUUGGUGUGGACAUCCUUUGCUCCCGUCUCCAGUGUUCCUGCUACACUCCCAUCCUCUGGACAUCUGGUAGUUGCUGGCGCUGUUGGCACGGUCCACUGUCAUUCUCUUGAACUCCGCGUGGAUUUCCAGGCACAAGUCCCUUGAACAGACACUCUUCGGCUAUAUCAUUGGCCAGGUGGUGCGCCGGGCAAACACGUGACCAUGGAGAAUGGGUACCCUCACUCCACUGUGAGGGCAGCUCUGUGAUGUCCUGAGGCAGAUGGAGGCCCAAGCUGUCCAGGUGCUGAGACUGGGGCUAGGAAGGGGCUUUCUGGGCCUGCCCUGUCUAGAGGCUGACAUCAGGUUCUGCAGUCCUAGGAGGGUACCUCCUGGGAGCUGCCAUUGCUCGGAAUCCUGAGACCUCCUCCCUUCCAAGCCGGUGACCGGUCUGACUGGGAGAUGGGACUUUCACUGACUACAGUCCCAUUGGCCUUCUGGCGCCGCAACGCAGGACCUUCUCUUGUGUUUCAUUCCUGUCCGUGUUACACCUGACAGAGGAGUUGAACCUGGUGGGAGCUGAAUUGUCCCGAGAAAGGGCCAGAGGUCUACCUGGUGGAGGGGAUGGCCCAGGAAGGAAGAGGGACCCUCGGAGGUGUGAGCAGAAGUGGCAAUAACUUAUCCCUUGUUACAGGAUUGUGGGGACUGGUAAAAGUAAGGGGAGCUAAGGUUUGAUUUAAAAAUCUCUUGCUUUGGGACUUCCCUGGUGGUCCAGUGGGUAAGACUCUGCGCUCCCAAUGCAGGGGGCCCAGAUUCGAGCCCUGGUCAGGGAACUAGAUCCCGUGUGCAUGUGGCAACUAAGAAGUCCACAUGCCGCAACAAAGACCCGGCACAGCCUAAAUGA